rnacentral:rRNA from 1 species
GGCAGGAGUAUUGUUUGACGAGAGGUGGAAUACGCUGAUUCAACCAGGACUACCGGUGGCGAAAGCGCCCAUCGAGGACUUGCUCGUCGGCCAAGGACCAAAGUUGGGGUAUCGAAAACGAUUAGAGACCGUUGUAGUCCCAACCACAAACUUUGCUGACUGGCUCUGUGGCGUUCUGCGCUUCGGCCAGAGGACACUGCGGGGCCUAGGCGAAAGCAUAGUCUUCGAGUCACGUGGAGAGUAUGCCCGCAAGAGUGAAAUUUAAAAGAGUUGGCGGAAUCCCAUACAUGAACUGGGACGUACGGCUUAAUUUGAUUCAACACGGGGCAACUUACCAGGGCCUCGGCAUUAGUGAGUCGCCUCCCUUUUGGGAUUAGGUUGAAUUCCGGCGACGAUUAUGUCUGGGGUUGUGCAUGGCCACCCGAGGCCGAUGGAGUGAUUUUUUGGUUAAAUCCGUGAAUCGGCGAGAUCCUCUCCCUCAGUUCCGAGCAGCAAUGCGAGGCUGAGAGAACCGGCCGCGUAAGCGGCAGGCGGGACGGGUUAAGGUAGGUCCGUGAUGCAUUUUUACGUCCUGGGCGGCCCGUGCGUCACAAUGCCGAGUGAAGGCCGUUGCUGUCCCGAAGGGGAUGGCGAAUCGGCAAAGCUCGGCGUAGUGGGGAUUGUAGGCUGCAAAGGCCUGCAUGAACCAGGAACUUCUCGUAAGCGUGUCUCAACAGAACACGCUGAAUAGGUCCCGGGGACUUGUUCACACUGUCCGUC